UAGGUAACCUCCUGCAAAACAAAGCACGCAAAGCAUCACGUAUGAUUCUUGUGUCAGGACAAAUCUUUUUUGUUCAGACUAGAGGUUAAUUCACAGUGUAAUGAAGUCCUACAGGUCAAGUCUAUUCCCAAAGCAUGCCAUGCACCACAUGUGUGGAAGAGCAAGGAUGAAGUGUUACAGAAUUGGAACGACGUCCCAGGUUACAGAUGUGUAAAACAGCUGGGCAAAUGAUGUCAUUAAAAAUACUUUGCCACCUCUGCUACUUGCUCUUGUUAUUAAAAGCAGACAUUAACUUUCUUUACCUAAUCGCACUGUGUAAACCUGUUGUGUCAAGUCCUCAGCGUGCUCUGUUCCUAAUUAGCAAAGACAACCCACAGCUGCUUCCCAUAAACUUCUCUGAGUGGCUUUGAACUUGCCAUGCUGCAACGCAGAUGUAUUUUGCUUCUGAAAUGCACAUUUUUAUCUGGUUAACAGAGGCUUCAUCCGAAAAUCUACGCAUGCUCUAUUCCAAACCCAAGGCCAUGGAGCAUGCAUGGACCAUAACUCAACAUGAGAUGGAAAUAAAGC